rnacentral:rRNA from 1 species
CCUACGGGUGGCAGCAGUGGGGGAUAUUGCACAAUGGGGGGAACCCUGAUGCAGCGACGCCGCGUGGGUGAAGGAGCGUUUCGGCGCGUAAAGCCCUAUCGGCAGGGGAGAAGAUGACGGUACCUGACUAAGAAGCCCCGGCUAACUACGGGCCAGCAGCCGCGGUAAUACGUCGGGGGCAAGCGUUAUCCGGAUUUACUGGGUGUAAAGGGAGCGUAGACGGCCAGACAAGUCAGAAGUGAAAGCCCAGGGCUCAACCCUGGGACUGCGUUUGAAACUGCCGGGCUGGAGUGCAGGAGAGGUAAGCGGAAUUCCUGGUGUAGCGGUGAAAUGCAUAGAUAUUAGGAGGAACACCAGUGGCGAAGGCGGCUUACUGGACUGUAACUGACGUUGAGGCUCGAAAGCGUGGGGAGCAAACAGGAUUAGAUACCCUUGUAGUC